AGUGAACGCUGGCGGUGGGCCUAACACAUGCAAGUCGAACGGCAGCACAGUAAGAUCGUGCUCUUACGGGUGGCGAGUGGCGGACGGGUGAGGAAUGCAUAGGAAUCUACUUUUUCGGGGGGGAUAACGUAGGGAAACUUACGCUAAUACCGCAUACGACCUACGGGUGAAAGCAGGGGAUCUUCGGACCUUGCGCGAUUGAAUGAGCCGAUGUCGGAUUAGCUAGUUGGCGGGGUAAGGGCACACCAAGGCGACGAUGCGUAGCCGGUCUGAGAGGAUGGUCGGCCACACUGGAACUUAGACACGGUCCCGACUCCUACGGGGGGGAGCCGUGGGGAAUCUUCCGCAAUGGGCGGAAGCCUGACGGCGCAACGCCGCGUGGGUGAAGAAGGUCUUCGGGUCGUAAAACUCUUUUUUUGGGGAAGAACAAAUGUGUAAGUAACUACGCACGUCUUGACGGUACCUAAUCAGAAAGCCACGGCUAACUUCGUG
rnacentral:rRNA from 1 species